UUUCCGUAGGUGAACCUGCGGAAGGAUCAUUACUGAGUGAGGGCCCUCUGGGUCCAACCUCCCACCCGUGUUUAUUAUACCUUGUUGCUUCGGUGCGCCCGCCUCACGGCCGCCGGGGGGCUUCUGCCCCCGGGUCCGCGCGCACCGGAGACACUAUUGAACUCUGUCUGAAGAUUGCAGUCUGAGCAUAAACUAAAUAAGUUAAAACUUUCAACAACGGAUCUCUUGGUUCCGGCAUCGAUGAAGAACGCAGCGAAAUGCGAUAACUAAUGUGAAUUGCAGAAUUCAGUGAAUCAUCGAGUCUUUGAACGCACAUUGCGCCCCCUGGUAUUCCGGGGGGCAUGCCUGUCCGAGCGUCAUUGCUGCCCUCAAGCACGGCUUGUGUGUUGGGCUCCGUCCCCCCGGGGACGGGUCCGAAAGGCAGCGGCGGCACCGAGUCCGGUCCUCGAGCGUAUGGGGCUUUGUCACCCGCUCUGUAGGCCCGGCCGGCGCCAGCCGACAACCAAUCAUCCUUUUUUCAGGUUGACCUCGGAUCAGGUAGGGAUACCCGCUGAACUUAA
rnacentral:rRNA from 1 species